GAACCCUCGUCUCGCCCCCCUUGCACAACAACUCCUAUGUGGCUUUGCCCGACCUAGACACCGAGCCGGCCAGCCGCCUCGCCGUCGUGGCUUCGCCGUUGGCCGGCCGGAGCCCAGAGUUCAGCCGCCUAGGAGGCUCCCUCCUUCCCUUCCCAUCUUCCUGCUCGGCCGCCCGCCCGGUCCGCGCCCCUGCCCUGCGCGCGGCUGCGCCCCUGCAGUCCUGGCGUCCCGCCUCCCUUUCCCGGCGUCCCGUCGGCCCGGCCGCCCCCUUGCAAAUCCCCACCACGACGGCAAACCCCUGACCGAUUUAAGAAAGGCAUUUUUAUUACAAAAUUAUUGAAGAACGAUGAGGGCCGGAGACAUUGUUUCUCUUUUCCAGAGAGAAACUAUUAAGAUAGGGAAGAAGAAGAAGGCAGGGAAUAUGCCGGAUGUGGCUGAAGAGCAAACCAGAGAACUUGUGUGUAUGCGGUUGUGAUUGAAGAGCAAACUCAUGAACCAAUAGUGUUUAUGUCGAAUGUGACCAUAGAGCAAAAGCAUAGGCCAGAAACAUAGUCUUUUUGAACUUCUCAAGGUAUGUACUAUGGUCCAUGUAGUAUUUACUAUGUAG
rnacentral:rRNA from 1 species